GAUGAACGCUGGCGGCGUGCCUAAUACAUGCAAGUCGAGCGAACGGACGAGAAGCUUGCUUCUCUGAUGUUAGCGGCGGACGGGUGAGUAACACGUGUAUAACCUACCUAUAAGACUGGGAUAACUUCGGGAAACCGGAGCUAAUACCGGAUAAUAUUUUGAACCGCAUGGUUCAAAAGUGAAAGACGGUCUUGCUGUCACUUAUAGAUGGAUCCGCGCUGCAUUAGCUAGUUGGUAAGGUAACGGCUUACCAAGGCAACGAUGCAUAGCCGACCUGAGAGGGUGAUCGGCCACACUGGAACUGAGACACGGUCCAGACUCCUACGGGAGGCAGCAGUAGGGAAUCUUCCGCAAUGGGCGAAAGCCUGACGGAGCAACGACGCGUGAGUGAUGAAGGUCUUCGGAUCGCAAAACUCUGUUAUUAGGGAAGAACAUAUGUGUAAGUAACUGUGCACAUCUUGACGGUACCUAAUCAGAAAGCCACGGCUAACUACGUG
rnacentral:rRNA from 1 species